UACGUAGGGUGCAAGCGUUGUCCGGAAUUAUUGGGCGUAAAGAGCUCGUAGGCGGUUUGUCGCGUCUGCUGUGAAAACUCGGGGCUUAACCCCGGGCCUGCAGUGGGUACGGGCAGACUAGAGUGCGGUAGGGGAGACUGGAAUUCCUGGUGUAGCGGUGAAAUGCGCAGAUAUCAGGAGGAACACCGGUGGCGAAGGCGGGUCCCUGGGCCGUAACUGACGCUGAGGAGCGAAAGCAUGGGGGAGCGAACAGG
rnacentral:rRNA from 1 species